GGGGAAUUUUGGACAAUGGGCGCAAGCCUGAUCCAGCCAUGCCGCGUGUCUGAAGAAGGCCUUCGGGUUGUAAAGGACUUUUGUCAGGGAAGAAAAGGCUGUUGCUAAUAUCAGCGGCUGAUGACGGUACCUGAAGAAUAAGCACCGGCUAACUACGUGCCAGCAGCCGCGGUAAUACGUAGGGUGCGAGCGUUAAUCGGAAUUACUGGGCGUAAAGCGAGCGCAGACGGUUUAUUAAGCAAGAUGUGAAAUCCCCGAGCUUAACUUGGGAACUGCGUUUUGAACUGGUAAGCUAGAGUAUGUCAGAGGGGGGUAGAAUUCCACGUGUAGCAGUGAAAUGCGUAGAGAUGUGGAGGAAUACCGAUGGCGAAGGCAGCCCCCUGGGAUAAUACUGACGUUCAUGCUCGAAAGCGUGGGUAGCAAACAGGAUUAGAUACCCUGGUAGUCCACGCCCUAAACGAUGUCAAUUAGCUGUUGGGGCACUUGAUGCCUUAGUAGCGUAGCUAACGCGUGAAAUUGACCGCCUGGGGAGUACGGUCGCAAGAUUA
rnacentral:rRNA from 1 species